rnacentral:rRNA from 1 species
AUGAACGCUGGCGGCGUGCCUAACACAUGCAAGUCGAACGGAGUCCAGCCUUUAAGACCUUCGGGUCAAAGAGGGGAAGACUGAGUGGCGGACGAGUGAGUAACACGUGGGCAACCUGGCUCAUAGAGGGGGAUAACAGAGAGAAAUUUCUGCUAAUACCGCAUAAGCACACACUGCCGCAUGGCAGAGGGUGAAAAGAGAAUCGCUAUGAGAUGGACCCGCGUCUGAUUAGCCAGUUGGCAGGGUAAGAGCCUACCAAAGCGACGAUCAGUAGCCGAUCUGAGAGGAUGAACGGCCACAUUGGGACUGACACACGGCCCAAACUCCUACGCGAGGCCGCAGUGGGGGAUAUUGCACAAUGGGGGGAACCCUGAUGCAGCGACGCCGCGUGAGUGAAGAAGUAUUUCGGUAUGUAAAGCUCUAUCAGCAGGGAAGAUAAUGACAGUACCUGAAUAAGCAGCCCCGGCUAACUACGUG